rnacentral:rRNA from 1 species
UACGGGGGGGGCAAGCGGUUGUUCGGAAUUACUGGGCGUAAAGGGCUCGUAGGUGGCCAACUAAGUCAGACGUGAAAUCCCUCGGCUUAACCGGGGAACUGCGUCUGAUACUGGAUGGCUUGAGUUUGGGAGAGGGAUGCGGAAUUCCAGGUGUAGCGGUGAAAUGCGUAGAUAUCUGGAGGAACACCGGUGGCGAAGGCGGCAUCCUGGACCAACACUGACACUGAGGAGCGAAAGCCAGGGGAGACAAAGCGGG